AUUUUUAAAAUCUAGUGUUAUUCAAUUUUUAAAUUUUUAAAUUUUUUUUUGUAUUUUAGAUUGAUUUCAAAUCAUUUAUUAUGGAAUCACAUGAAUAAAUGACUAAAUUCAAAAUCUAAUGCAUAUUGUAGAAAUUUUAGAAUUCAUCAACAUAAACUAUCUUAAAUUUUUAAAUUUGAUAUAUUACAAAAUAUUAAUAUUUAAUUUUAAAUCACUAGUUGAAUAACACCAAGUUAUAAUUCUUUUAAAUCGUUUGCCACACUUCUCAGAAAAAAUGGAACU
rnacentral:lncRNA from 1 species